GAAGCGGGUCGGACAACUGCGGGCCUUUUAGGCAUGAGGAAAGUCCGGGCUUCAUAGGGCAGGAUGCCAGCUAACGGCUGGGCGGGGCGACCCGAUGGAAAGUGCCACAGAAAAGAAGACUCCAGCUUUCGGGCUGGAAAAGCUGAAACGGUGCGGUAAGAGCGCACCAGUGCGUCGGCAACGGCGUAGCUUGGUAAACCCCAUCCGAAGCAAGCGCAAAUAGGAGUGCUAUGCGGUGGCCCGCCGUGCACUCGGGUUGCGUGCUCGAGGCGCAUCGCAAGAUGCGUCCUAGAUAAAUAGUUGUCUUAAACGACAGAACCCGGCUUAUAGACCCGCUUCAUUC
rnacentral:RNase_P_RNA from 1 species